GGGAAGAGCUCAAAUUUGAAAUCUGGUAGCCUUCGGUUGCCCGAGUUGUAAUCUAGAGAAGUGUUUUCCGUGCCGGCCCAUGUACAAGUCCCUUGGAACAGGGCGUCAUAGAGGGUGAGAAUCCCGUCCUUGACAUGGACCCCCGGUGCUUUGUGAUACACUUUCAACGAGUCGAGUUGUUUGGGAAUGCAGCUCAAAAUGGGUGGUGAAUUCCAUCUAAAGCUAAAUAUUGGCGAGAGACCGAUAGCGAACAAGUACCGUGAGGGAAAGAUGAAAAGCACUUUGGAAAGAGAGUUAAACAGUACGUGAAAUUGUUGAAAGGGAAACGAUUGAAGUCAGUCAUGCUCUUGGGACUUACCUCCCUUGAGUGGGGUCAACAUCAGUUUUGAUCGAUGGAUAAAGGCACGGGGAAGGUAGCACUCUCGGGUGAACUUAUAGCCUCGCGUCAUAUACAUUGAUUGGGACUGAGGAACGCAGCAUGCCUUUUGGCCGGGAUUCGUCCACGUACAUGCUUAGGAUGUUGACAUAAUGGCUUUAAACGACCCGUCUU
rnacentral:rRNA from 1 species